GUAGGUGGCAAGCGUUGUCCGGAAUUAUUGGGCGUAAAGCGCGCGCAGGCGGUUUCUUUAAGUCUGAUGUGAAAGCCCACGGCUCAACCGUGGAGGGUCAUUGGAAACUGGAGAACUUGAGUACAGAAGAGGAAAGCGGAAUUCCACGUGUAGCGGUGAAAUGCGUAGAGAUGUGGAGGAACACCAGUGGCGAAGGCGGCUUUCUGGUCUGUAACUGACGCUGAGGCGCGAAAGCGUGGGGAGCAAACAGGGAUUAGAUACCCUGGUAGUCCACGCCGUAAACGAUGAGUGCUAAGUGUUAGGGGGUUUCCGCCCCCUUGGUGCUGCAGCUAACGCAUUAAGCACUCCGCCUGGGGAUACGGCCGCAAGGCUG
rnacentral:rRNA from 1 species